GCGUCCAUAGCUCAGCUGGAAGAGCAGCGGCCUCUUAAGCCGAUGGUCCCAGGUUCGAUCCCUGGUGGACGCA
rnacentral:tRNA from 1 species